rnacentral:rRNA from 1 species
UACGUAGGUGGCAAGCGUUGUCCGGAAUUAUUGGGCGUAAAGCGCGCGCAGGCGGUCCUUUAAGUCUGAUGUGAAAGCCCACGGCUCAACCGUGGAGGGUCAUUGGAAACUGGAGGACUUGAGUACAGAAGAGGAAAGCGGAAUUCCACGUGUAGCGGUGAAAUUCGUAGAUAUCGGGAGGAACACCAGUGGCGAAGGCGGCGACCUGGGCUGAUACUGACGCUGAGGUGCGAAAGCGUGGGGAGCAAACAGG